CUCCGAACUCCUCCUAGGAUAAUACAAUUUUAGGCUCUGCAGUAUCUAUAUAAAACAGUGUGGUAAUGUUGUGUUUAUUCUUGUCGGUCUUUUAGGAAGGUAGAGAAUGAUGAACCGUGGCUUAAAAACCCCAUCAGAAAUUCCCAUUCACAAAUACUUAGGCAGCUUUUAAUUUCAACAGCUCUUAGUUUUGCAACACAGUAGUGUCAGUGAGAGAUGGUCAUGUAAUUUCUCUUGCCGCAUAGAUCUUUCAGCCUAGAAAACUAUAUUUAGGAGGGCUGUUCUUCACGCUCUUCGCCUCAGACCUGUCACAUACUCAUCUGACUGCUCUGAGCUUCACGGGAGAGGUCCUAAGUGUUUGUCACUCCCCAAGCCUCUUCCGCACAACCUAACGCCUCGGAGCAGGAUGGAGAUGUCUCCAGAGAAACACUGCGUGGAAACGCCACUCGGCAUCCUCUCCCUCACUCUCUAGAACUCAUUACUAGCCGCUGCUUCACGAGGUGGCCUGGCCCUGAGGUAAAUGGCCCGGCCCGAGAUACGCUCCUGGCCCCGAGGUAAAUAGCCCGGCCCCGAGGUAGGGUCCCGGCCCGGCGCUGGGGUGAAGGGGGGCAGAGCCCGGCAGUCGCCCCGACAGACGCUCCCCAGAGCCCUCCCGGCGCCCUGCGCACCCCUGCGCGCUUCGGAGGCGGCAGCCGCAGCCGAGCGCAGCGCAGCGCUCCCGCCGCAAAGGGAGGGAGCGGGCAGGACGCGGGCGCGGUGGCGCAGGCAUUGCCGACAUCGCCGGCAGUGCAGGCAUCGCCGGCAUCGCCCUGCUUGCAGAGCCUCUCCUCCGCUGGCUCCGCGGGCAGGAGCCUCGCGGCAGCGCGGGCCCCGGUUGCAGAGCCUCCCCUCUGGCUCCGCGGGGAGGAGGCGCCCCUUGCCCGGGGCUGCGGGACCGAGGCGGCCGCCGCCCCUUUAAGCUCCAGCUGUUCCUUUCUGCCGCGCCUAUUUUUAGCGCGUCCUCUUGGUAGCAUCCAGCUCUGCCCCCUGUUUCUGCGCGCUCCCCCGUCCCCCCCCGGUGGUAGGUUCCGCACGGCGGGGGGACUGAGCAUGUCCGAACGCGCUCGGCAGCGGCCGCCGCGCCGGGGCUGCGCUCGCUCGCAGGGCGGGAAGGAGGGCGCGGGCGCCGCCGCCGCCCGCAAUUUUGUGUUUUUAGGCAUUAUCUUGCACGUCAUCAUGCUACUACAUGCUGCCUUCCCUACUGAGAAACUAUUACAGCACGCUGGACAAUAAAGGCUGCCUGCUGUGAUGAACGCUGGCUACCCAAGGGCAAUGACAUCCCUCCUGACUUCCCUUCUGAGCUGCUGACUGUGCCUCCCAGCAGACCUAUAUGAAAGAUCCUAAGAAUAAACUGAUCCUCAGUUUUGUUAUUUAUUCUUAGCUGGUGAAAUAAAUUUAAAGAAUCUUUAAAAAAGGGAAAGUGUUACAGUUUAUUGUUGUGUACAAAGUAACCAACUAACAAAAUUCAUUUUGUUAACAGGCAGAAAGAACUGCAAGUUAGCACAAAUGGAGGAAAAAUGGUUUUUAGUCAUCUCUAUACAGCUUGGUGACUUUAUUUUUAAUUUUUAUUUUUUUCUCAAGGCUUCAAAAAAAUGUAUUUCAACAUCUGACUUAUUAUGGUUGUUCCAAGCUGCUCAUAAAUAAAGCUGAUCAAGAUUUAUUGAUCAGAUUUUGAUUUCGCCUCUCAGACAAAAUAAACCCAAGAAUGCCGCAUUUAUAUGCUUGUAGG
rnacentral:lncRNA from 1 species